GGUGAACGCUGGCGGUAGGCCUAACACAUGCAAGUCGAACGGCAGCACAGUAAGAGCUUGCUCUUACGGGUGGCGAGUGGCGGACGGGUGAGGAAUACAUCGGAAUCUACUUUUUCGUGGGGGAUAACGUAGGGAAACUUACGCUAAUACCGCAUACGACCUACGGGUGAAAGCAGGGGAUCUUCGGACCUUGCGCGAUUGAAUGAGCCGAUGUCGGAUUAGCUAGUUGGCGGGGUAAAGGCCCACCAAGGCGACGAUCCGUAGCUGGUCUGAGAGGAUGAUCAGCCACACUGGAACUGAGACACGGUCCAGACUACUACGGGAGGCAGCAGUGGGGAAUAUUGGACAAUGGGCGCAAGCCUGAUCCAGCCAUACCGCGUGGGUGAAGAAGGCCUUCGGGUUGUAAAGCCCUUUUGUUGGGAAAGAAAAGCAGCAGGUUAAUACCCCGCUGUUCUGACGGUACCCAAAGAAUAAGCACCGGCUAACUUCGUG
rnacentral:rRNA from 1 species